rnacentral:rRNA from 1 species
GUUUGAUCCUGGCUCAGGACGAACGCUGGCGGCGUGCCUAACACAUGCAAGUCGAACGGACAUAAUCCGGUAGUAAUAUUGGGUUAUUGUUAGUGGCGAACGGGUGAGUAAUACAUGAGCAACCUGCCUUUCAGAGGGGGAUAACAGUUGGAAACAGCUGCUAAUACCGCAUAACGUAUUUUUGUGGCAUCACGGAAAUACCAAAGGAGCAAUCCGCUGAAAGAUGGGCUCAUGUCUGAUUAGUUAGAUGGUAGGGUAACGGCCUACCAUGACUGCGAUCAGUAGCCGGUCUGAGAGGAUGAACGGCCACAUUGGGACUGAGAUACGGCCCAGACUCCUACGGGAGGCAGCAGUGGGGAAUAUUGGGCAAUGGGGGAAACCCUGACCCAGCAACGCCGCGUGAAGGAAGAAGGCUUUCGGGUUGUAAACUUCUUUUAUCAGGGACGAAGAAAGUGACGGUACCUGAUGAAUAAGCCACGGCUAACUACGUGCCCAGCAGCCGCGGUAAUACGUAGGUGGCAAGCGUUGUCCGGGAUUUACUGGGUGUAAAGGGCGUGUAGGCGGGAUAGCAAGUCAGAUGUGAAAUCCAUGGGCUCAACCCAUGAACUGCAUUUGAAACUGUUAUUCUUGAGUGAUGGAGAGGCAAGUGGAAUUCCUAGUGUAGCGGUGAAAUGCGUAGAUAUUAGGAGGAACACCAGUGGCGAAGGCGACUUGCUGGACAUUAACUGACGCUGAGACGCGAAAGCGCGGGGAGCAAACAGGAUUAGAUACCCUGGUAGUCCGCGCCGUAAACGAUGAAUACUAGGUGUGGGGGGGACUGACCCUCUCCGUGCCGGAGUUAACACAAUAAGUAUUCCACCUGGGGAGUACGGCCGCAAGGCUGAAACUCAAAGGAAUUGACGGGGCCCGCACAAGCAGUGGAUUAUGUGGUUUAAUUCGAAGCAACGCGAAGAACCUUACCAGGGCUUGACAUCCAACUAACGAAGCAGAGAUGCAUUAGGUGCCCUUCGGGGAAAGUUGAGACAGGCGGUGCAUGGUUGUCGUCAGCUCGUGUCGUGAGAUGUUGGGUUAAGUCCCGCAACGAGCGCAACCCUUAUUGCUAGUUGCUACGCAAGAGCACUCUAGCGAGACUGCCGUUGACAAAACGGAGGAAGGUGGGGACGACGUCAAAUCAUCAUGCCCCUUAUGUCCUGGGCUACACACGUAAUACAAUGGCGCAAAACAGAGGGAAGCGAAGGAGCGAUCCGGAGCGAAUCCCCAAAAGGCGUCUCAGUUCGGAUUGCAGGCUGCAACUCGCCUGCAUGAAGUCGGAAUUGCUAGUAAUCGCGGAUCAGCAUGCCGCGGUGAAUACGUUCCCGGGCCUUGUACACACCGCCCGUCACACCAUGAGAGUC